UUGGAAUGUAGAAACCUAAUACAUAACCUGUACUACAUAUUUGAAAAGGUAGUAGUGUCAAUCCAUGCAUUAAACAAGAGGAAUGCAGAGAAGGCACAAAGGAGAUGUGAAGUAAGAGCAAAAAAGGAAGACGAACGGAAAGGAAAUGUGAAUUUUCUUCCCACACAAUGCGCGGUUCCAUUUUUGCAUCUGUGAAAAUAUCAUGAUGGUACUGCAUUAUCAAUGAAUUGUUUGCGUAG
rnacentral:lncRNA from 1 species